GAAUUCGCCCUUAGAGUUUGAUCCUGGCUCAGGACGAACGCUGGCGGCGUGCUUAACACAUGCAAGUCGAACGGGAUUUAGUAGACAGGAGCUUCGGUGGAAGAUUACUAAUGAGAGUGGCGAACGGGUGAGUAACGCGUGAGCAACCUGCCUAUGACAGUGGGAUAGCCUCGGGAAACCGGGAUUAAUACCGCAUAAAAUCGUAGAAACACAUGUUUUAGCGGUCAAAGAUUUAUCGGUCAUAGAUGGGCUCGCGUCUGAUUAGCUAGUUGGUGAGAUAACAGCCCACCAAGGCGACGAUCAGUAGCCGGUCUGAGAGGAUGAACGGCCACAUUGGAACUGAGACACGGUCCAAACUCCUACGGGAGGCAGCAGAAGGG
rnacentral:rRNA from 1 species